UCUACAUUCGCACAUCUAUGGACAGUUUAGAGCUAGAGUGACUGCUGUUAGUGAACGAGGUUAAAAAAAAAAAAAAAACGGAAAAAGGAAUAAAGUGAUGGGCGCUGGUAAAUGGGCGGCAGACAGAAAGAGAAGACAUAGCUACCGAUAUGUUGCCGGUACUGUGAAGAAACAUAAAUGCAACAGGAGCACGCAGAGAUGCCCGAAGCAGGGCCGACUGCCCCAGGAAAGGAUGCUCAGCUGGGGACGGCACCAAACUGGACAUCGAGAGCGCACUGGCCUGGCUACGAAGGGAACUAAUGGAAAUGCGAUCCCAAGAUCAAGCACUGAUCCGGCAACUGAUGGAGCUUCACUCCGGCAUCCAGGAGCUUAAGCAGGAGCUGUUCGAGGAGGAGGACGUUGAGGAGGAGCUAGACGAGGAAAUGCACGAAGAAGGUAGCUGCUGGGACUCAGAGGGUGAACGGGGAAGCGUCUACUCCAGCUCGGGUGAGGAGGCUUCACCCAUUCCCUUUCCAAAAAAACCUCAGCGCCUUUACACCACGCCCAAGGCCAGGAAAUCUUUCAGCAGAAGAAGAUCUGUGCCUUAAAAAGCCACAUAGAACUGGUCUAGUCCCACUUUUAAUUCCUUCAUGCACUCCACAGUGUUAAAAAUAGAUAAUCAUACUGAGAACUAAAACACAGACACUAUCAGCAACAAUUCCGUGGUCAUGUAUCCAUCCAUCAAUUUUCUUAGCUGCUUACCCACACAAGGGAGUGCUUGAGCCUAUCCCAGCUGUCAAGGGGCAGGUGGCGGGGUACACUCAGUGUCCAAUUAAUGUUGCAUGUUUUUGGGAUGUGGGAGGAAACUGGAGUGCCCGGAGAAAAGUCACACAGGCACGGGGGAGAACAUGCAAACUCCACAUACAGGGAGGGCCGGGAUUGAACCCGGGUCCUCAAAACUGUGAGGCCAACGCUUUACAGUAACUCCACCGUGCCGUCCAUGGUCAUCUACUGUAUACUGAAUUUAAAUAUAUGAACAAAUGGGCACAGCACGUCUGGCUCGCAGUUCUUAGGUCGAUGGUUCGAAUCGAUUCCUCCCACAUCUCAAAAACAUGCAUUGAGUUAAUGGAAGACACUAAAUUGUUUAUAUGCGGUAUGUGCCCAGCGAAUAGUAAUCUUUAAUUGGAUUGACCUAAAGGCAAGUCGCCUUUGUGUAACUUAAUGUUUGUGAGACAAAUAUACUCUUAUGUGGGUAGAAAGUAUUGAAGACACAAUCAUUCCAGCACUCAGUCAAGUUCUUCCAGACUGUACUCAGCCAAUCAGGCCUUUUCAAACUGUUUUGAGCAUAAAAUCUGUCCAACAUGCCUAGACAAGGAAAGAGAGUAUAAUCUCAUUGACUGAUUAAUUAAUUGAUUCGUACUUCACAAUUAUUUUAUCUGUGUAGUUCAGUAUUUCGACAAAAACAGAAAUUUGAUAUCUGAUUUGCAAAGUGUAAGUUUUGUUUUGUCCACUCCUGUCUGAAUGUACAGAAAAAGGCACCAUUGCCACGGGUUGUUAGUGCUGAAAGCUCGCUGACCUGACGCGACUUUAACGGCAUACAAA